UCCAAGCAAGUGCCCAAACUCCCAGCCAGG
rnacentral:piRNA from 1 species